rnacentral:rRNA from 1 species
CAGAAGUGGCGAGCGUUGUUCGGAAUUACUGGGCUUAAAGGGCGCGUAGGCGGUGGUACAAGUCUGAGGUGGAAUACUACAGCUUAACUGUGGAACUGCCUUGGAAACUGUAUUACUUGAGUUAGGCAGGGGAAGGCGGAAUUUCUGGUGUAGCGGUGAUAUGCGUAGAUAUCUSGAGGAAGGCCUGUGGCCAAGGCGGCGUUCUGGGCCUUAACUGACGCUGAGACGCGAAAGCGUGGGGAGCAAACAGGAUUAGAUACCCUGGUAGUCCACGCCCUAAACGGUGGGCACUAGGUGUGGGAUUCGUAAGGGUUACGUGCCGAAGGGAAACCAUUAAGUGCCCCGCCUGGGGAGUCCGGCCGCAAGGUUGAAACUCAAAGGAAUUGACGGGGGCCCGCACAAGCGGUGGAGCAUGUGGUUUAAUUCGACGCAACGCGAAGAACGUUACCUGGGUUUGACAUGUACGUGGUAAGAGCCUGAAAGGGGGAUGACCCUGGGGUAACCUAGGGAGCGUACACAGGUGCUGC